rnacentral:rRNA from 1 species
CAAUAGCGUAUAUUAAAGUUGUUGCGGUUAAAAAGCUCGUAGUUGGAUUUCUGCCGAGGACGACCGGUCCGCCCUCUGGGUGAGUAUCUGGUUCGGCCUGGGCAUCUUCUUGGAGAACGUAUCUGCACUUGACUGUGUGGUGCGGUAUCCAGGACUUUUACUUUGAAAAAUUAAGAGUGUUCAAAGACAGGCAUUCGCUUGAAUAUCUCAGCAUGGAAUAAUAGAAUAGGACUUUGGUCUUAUUUUGUUGGUUUCCGAGACCGAAGUAAUGAUUAAUAGGGACAGUUGGGGGCGAUUCUAUUUCAUUGUCAGAGGUGAAAUUCUUGGAUUUAUGAAAGACGAACUUCUGCGAAAGCAUUUGCCAAGGAUGUUUUCAUUAAUCAAGAACGAAAGUUGGAGGCUCGAAGACGAUUAGAUACCAU